rnacentral:rRNA from 1 species
UACGGAGGGAGCUAGCGUUGUUCGGAAUUACUGGGCGUAAAGCGCACGUAGGCGGCUUUCUAAGUCAGGGGUGAAAUCCCCGGGGCUCAACCCCGGAACUGCCCUUGAAACUGGAUGGCUAGAAUCCUGGAGAGGCGAGUGGAAUUCCGAGUGUAGCGGUGGAAUGCGUAGAGAUCCGGAAGAACACCAGUGGCGAAGGCGGCCCGCUGGGCAGUGGCUGACGCUGAGGCGCGACAGCGUGGGGAGCAAACAGG